rnacentral:rRNA from 1 species
ACACUUGUGGGGCGACUCCCCGGGAACUGGGGCUAAUUUCCGAUAGGUGAAGACCUCUGGAAUGAAUCUUUGCCCAAAAGACGCUUAGAUCAUGCUUCUAGACGUCGCCCAAGGAUGGGGCCGCGGCCGAUCAGGUUGUUGGUGAGGUAACGGCUCACCAAGCCUUUAACCGGUACGGGCCGUGGGAGCGGUAGCCCGGAGAUGGGAACUGAGACAAGGUCCCAGGCCCUACGGGGCGCAGCAGUCGCGAAAACUCCGCAAUACGCGAAAGCGUGACGGGGCCAUCCCGAGUGCCGUCUGCUGAGGAUGGCUUUUCCCUAGUGUAGAUAGCUAGGGGAAUAAGGAGAGGGCAAGUCUGGUGUCAGCCGCCGCGGUAAUACCAGCUCUCCUAGUGGUGGGGAUGUUUAUUGGGCCUGAAGCAUCCGUAGCCGGCUGGGCAAGUUCCUCGUUAAAUCCAGCGAUUUAAUCGUUGGACCGCGAAGAAUACUGCCCGGCUAGGGGAUGAGAGAGGCCAACGGUAUUCUCGGGGUAGGGGUGAAAUCCUAUAAUCCCGAGAGGACCACCAGUGGCGAAGGCUGUUGGCUAGAACAUGCCCGACGGUGAGGGAUGAAAGCUGGGGGAGCGAACCGGAUUAGAUACCCGGGUAGUCCCAGCUGUAAACGAUGCAGGCUAGGUGUUAGGGCGGCCACGUGCCGCUCUAGUGCCGCAGGGAAGCUGAUAAGCCUGCCGCCUGGGGAGUACGGCCGCAAGGCUGAAACUUAAAGGAAUUGGCGGGGGAGCAC